rnacentral:lncRNA from 1 species
AUGUCCUUGUCCUGUGGGUCCUGGGUGCAGCUCCCAGGGACAUCCCACACCAUGUCCUGGCCAUCCCACUCCCCUGGCGGCCCCAAACAAGGAGAAGUCCAGCAGGGUGUCCUACCAGGGCCUGCUGGGCUCCACGCUUGCUCCUGGCAUGUUUGGGCACUGAUUUCCCUCCCUGCCUGCUGCCAUUUGGGACUUAGCCACCAUCUGUCCUUCUUGGCUUUACGUGGAGUAACGUCCCAUGCAUUUGCUGUUAAAAACAAAUUUUCCUGCCCUGCUCAGGGCUCCUGCUCCUUGCAGCACCAUGUAUGCACCCAAAGCCAAGCUACCUACAGCCCACAGUCACAGCGGCCCAAAGUGUCCUCCCCAUGUCCCCCUUUGGGCCACCAACCCUCAGCUCCAUGCACCCAGCACCUACUCCACUACCUGCACCGCCCCAGGUCCCAAACAUCACCCUCCCCUUCAUCGGGUUGCAGCACAGCCCUGCAGAAGGCACCCACCCUCCUGCCACCCAUCCUGCCUGCCAGCUGUCACCGCUGUCCCCAGGCCACAGACAGGCACAACCCCCAAAGUUGCUCUGGAGUUGAGGGCUUCUCAGCUUCUCCACCCCAGGUAGCACAUCUGAGAGUAAAAGCAGGAUUUGUGGGCAGCACUUGUUCAGCUUCAGGAACCAAACCAGCCUCAAGUGCCCCGGGUGCAGCAGCACCACCACCAGCUGAGCCAAACCCUGCUCGGUUUUCCAACGUACCUGAGCACAGCUACUGGGGUGGCAGGGGGCAAAGCCCUGCCCAUCAGCAAUGGCUGUCACCCAGAGCGAGACCCAGGACAUCCUGCUGUCUGUCCUCUGCGUGGCAAGAAGCCCAAGUCCAAGUCAUCAAGGAACAUCCUCAUCUGCUGGCCGGGACACAGAGGAUCACCACAGGACAGCCUCUGACCAGGGCAUGGGGUGGUCCCAGGGCUUUCCUGGCUGGGAUUUGCCCACUUGGGGAAGAGCAGGGGGCUUGCAGGACAGCCUCCAGGGCAUCUCAAGGCUUUGCUUCAAACUGCUGA